UCUCAAGCUCCUGGUAAUGUGUCUCUGUCUCUUUGAUAAGCGAAAGGACCUUGUUAUUCAUUUUUUUUUUUUUUUUUUUAUAGGACCUUGUUAUUCAUUGUAACAAAAUAAAAUUUGGGUUUUCUAAUUUGAAAAUGUAUAAGUUAAAAUAUUAAAAACAGUUGCAGAAACAACAUUAUAUGAAUGUGAUUAAGUUUUUGACCACAGUGAGCACGAGUGUGCACCAUGCUUUGUAUGCAGGUGAGGGAGUGAUACAGCAGAUUUGUCAGAGUAUUGUGGUACCAAAGGUGAGGUUGAGGGAGGAGGACGAGGAACUCUUUGGAAAUGAAUUAUGUUGAGUUCAUUCGGAGGGAUAUUGAGGGUAGUGAUCUUGAUACUAGGAGGAGAAUUGCGUGUGAGCUUCUUAAAGGGAUUGCGACCAAUUAUAAGCAACAGGUCACCGAGAUAGUUUCUGCACAGAUUCAGCAUUUGUUAACUUCGCUUGCUGCAAACCCAGUUACAAAUUGGAAGGAUAAGGACUGUGCCAUAUACUUAGUUGUCUCCCUUGCUACUAAGAAGGCUGGGGGUAGUUUGGUCUCGACAGAUCUUGUUGAUGUUCAGAGUUUUUUUGCUUCAAUUAUUGUGCCGGUGUUGUCAAGGGUCAGGAUGUGAAUGGGUUUCCAAUGCUUAAGGCAGGUGCACUGAAAUUCUUUACAAUGUUCAGGAAUCAAAUAUCAAAGGAUGUUAUAGUUCAGAUUUUCCAAGAUUUGGUUCGGUUCCUUGUUGCGGAAUCAAAUUUAGUUCAUUCUUAUGCUGCAAGUUGUAUUGAGAAACUGUUGCUGGUCAAGGAUGAGGGGGGAAGAUCUAGGUAUACUGCAAAUGACGUUGCUCCAUUUUUUGUUGAGCUGAUGAUCAACCUAUUUAAUGCCUUCAAAUUUCCAGAGUCCGAGGAGAAUCAAUAUAUAAUGAAGUGUAUCAUGCGGGUUCUUGGGGUAGCAGAAAUACACCUAUUGUGAUGCGUGUUAUUCUUGCAUCAAUCCGUGGGACUGUGAUGGAGCUUGGAAAUACACCUAUUGUGACUUCUAGGCUAGUGAUGCAACUCUUGGCUGGGUCCAAGUUCAUUGAAGUGGACAACAGUUUCUGCGAGGAUCGUGCCCUCUUAAAUGGGGCACAAAAGUUGUUAGGCAUCCUGAUUGCUGUUGGUCUUGCAGUUGGUCCUGCGAAGGUCUGGGUCACCAGGAGUCCAGCCUCAGAUGUGCCCUUGAGGAAGCCAUGUUUCUUAAAAGAACUUUUGUCAUGCCUUCUAGGAUGUGCAUCAAUCCUAUACAUAACAAGAAAGGAAUCCUUCAUCAUUCCGAUAACAGAAGUUCAAAGGAAAGGUGGGCAGCAAGCUCUUGUGCCAUGGACUCUUUGUAUGAUAUGGACCUCAUAUCUGAUACUGUACCUGUAAUUUUAGACAAUUCAAAACUAUGGUAUCAAGUACUAUCUACGAGUAUGAAGCUAGGACCUAGGGGAGUUGCCCACGUGGAAGGAAUUAAUCGUGUUGAUCUUAAAGAGGACAGUCACUACUCAAAUCUCUUGCUCAUAAACCGAACUGCAAGCUGUCUUUCAUGUAUCUUGUUCAGUACAUUCACCUGAGAUUAAUUCAGGCUAUUUGAUUUCGCCAUUCCCUGUCUUCCAUAUGAAGUGUUAGAAUUGAAAAGUACAUGUCUUAAAAUAUGCCAUGCUCGUCGUGGUGAUAAAAUAAAAAACAGCAAGGACAGAUUUGGAGUUGAAAGAAGCCUGCAUCCCCAUCUGGAUAGGGAUACACGUCCUGAGUUUAUCUAACGUAGAAUUAAAAAGGGGAUCCCACCUGGACGAACUAUUUUUAUUGCUUCCAAUGAGAGGACUCGUGGAUUUUUUUCCCCUCUCUCUGUCAGGUACAAAUGGCCAUAUUCAUCAAACUAUAGCUGGAUUCUGGAUCCUUUGAUUAAGAACAACUACCAGUUGUUCAUUGUUGAGAGGGUUAUCAUAAUGGGAGCCAAAACAUCCAUUAAAACAUUCAAGGAGGAUGAAACUGUACUCAGCCUCACUGAUGACCCAAAGAAGAACACCAAAUCGUGGCAAAUACCU